GGGUGGAAGAUGCCUGUCUGCUAACUGUGUCCAGGAGAGUCAAACAGGCAUCCUCCACCCCACGCCUUGCCUUAUAGGCAA